rnacentral:rRNA from 1 species
GACGAACGCUGGCGGCGUGCCUAAUACAUGCAAGUAGAACGCUGAAGGAGGAGCUUGCUUCUCCGGAUGAGUUGCGAACGGGUGAGUAACGCGUAGGUAACCUGCCUGGUAGCGGGGGAUAACUAUUGGAAACGAUAGCUAAUACCGCAUAAGAGUAGAUGUCGCAUGACAUUUGCUUAAAAGGUGCAACUGCACCACUACCAGAUGGACCUGCGUUGUAUUAGCUAGUUGGUGAGGUAACGGCUCACCAAGGCAACGAUACAUAGCCGACCUGAGAGGGGUGAAGGCAACACUGGGAAUGAGACACGGCAGAAAAGCCUGCGGGAGGGAGCAGGAGGGAAGUGGGGGGAAUGGGCGGAAAGCGGACCGGGCAGCGGGGGGUGAGUGAAGGAGGGUGUAGGAUCGUUAAGAUCUUGUGUGAGAGGAGAACCAGAAGGGUGGGGGAAAGUGCACGCUGUGACGGUAUCUUAACAGAAAGGAACGGCUAACUACGUG